AGUGCUGUUUAUACCAGAUGAAUCUACAAAGCCAAGAACAGGAAUCACCGUAUCUCCUUCAGUAGACCUGAUACAAGGGAAGAGGGCUUCUCAGACCUUCCUAAAGUUUCACUUUCUCAUUUCAGCCACACCACCUCUGGUUAACAGAACCAGAUAUGUCAUAACACUGUCAAUGCCUGGAGGAGAGUAAAAUUCUGACUCUGACCACCAAGCUGAUCUGCACAGAAGGGGAUACAUGAUUAUUCAAAGAAUGCUAGUUGAACCCAAAAUUUCAAACUGCAGCUACAUCUAUCUAAUGUUGUUUCCUCCACCUUCAGUUUUCUCAAGCAGCGUUGUUCUGACACAAACACUGUAACCACUUUUGUGAUAUUGAGCCUUACUCUGUGUGACUCCAGACUGAGCUGAGGUGUGCUUGAAAGAACAUGGGCUUUGAAGUCAAGUGCAUCUUGUCUGUGGUGUGUUUAACAAGUAUGCCCCUCUGAGACACAGCAUCCUUAUUUGUAAAAGAAGGAUAAUAGUGCCCACUUUUCAAGAUUACUGACAUGAGUAGAUUGAGUAGCAUAUGUAAAGUGCCUUUACAUAUAGGAUAUGUCUGUUAAAUGAAUGAU
rnacentral:lncRNA from 1 species